AUUGAACGCUGGCGGCAUGCCUUACACAUGCAAGUCGAACGGUAACAGGUCUUCGGAUGCUGACGAGUGGCGAACGGGUGAGUAAUACAUCGGAACGUGCCCGAGAGUGGGGGAUAACGAAGCGAAAGCUUUGCUAAUACCGCAUACGAUCUCAGGAUGAAAGCAGGGGACCGCAAGGCCUUGCGCUCACGGAGCGGCCGAUGGCAGACUAGGUAGUUGGUGGGAUAAAAGCUUACCAAGCCGACGAUCUGUAGCUGGUCUGAGAGGACGACCAGCAACACUGGGACUGAGACACGGCCCAGACUCCUACGGGAGGCAGCAGUUGGGAAUUUUGGACAAUGGGCGCAAGCCUGAUCCAGCCAUGCCGCGUGCAGGAUGAAGGCCUUCGGGUUGUAAACUGCGUUUGUACGGAACGAAAAGACUCCUUCUAAUAAAGGGGGUCCAUGACGGUACCGUAAGAAUAAGCACCGGCUAACUACGUGCCAGCCGCCGCAGUAACAC
rnacentral:rRNA from 1 species